rnacentral:lncRNA from 1 species
UCAAUUUAAAUUCUGCAGGGGAUCUUUCUCACCUGCCGAUAAUCAGUCACUUGGACUGUUUGUCAGUACCUGUCAUUUCCUCCUCUUCUGCUUCUGGCAGGCAUUGUUUUAUGGAGUCAUUGAAUCCUGGUUGCUAUGGAGAUUUCCCCACCAUUCCAAAAGCAAACAAGCUGCCAUGUAUUUAAAGCAAUAAAACAUCAUCACAUUUAACUGGAACAAAUAAGUCUGGUAUAAAAUUUUGGUACAAAUUUACCAAGCUGCCUAGUGUCUAUCUUUUAGAACUUUAAGCACACUGCUGUGCUGGUAUUCUUUUAUUUAUUUAGGAAUGCUUCUAGCAUAGUGCCAUAUCUUUGAAAUGUUGGGAGGAAUCUGAGAAGUCUAAGAAAAAGGUGCAUCAAUGAAGAUACAGCAUCAAGGGGAUGUUGGUUUUAUUUUUUGAAGUUGAUGGAAUCAUGCAAGCUGAGUUUUACCAAGGAACAGAAGGAGAGAAAAGUAACUAAGACAGGAAGCAAAAGGAAAGGACCUUGUGGAUAUUCAGAGAAGCACUUUUCUGGGAGAGAGAACAGGGAUAGAAAAGGGAACAGUUUUUUUCCACAAGAAGAACCUCAAGGAAUUUUCAGAUGGAGUUAUUUCAAAAUACUCUGUGCAGAGGAAAAAAAAUAUUCAGGAGUCAAUUUCAAUACCACUCUUUUAGCCCUGGGUCAGCUCUUCAAAUGACCAUGAAUUUAUAUUGAGCCAGAAGUGCUGAAGAAAGCUUCAUUACUGGUGGAUAAAAUGCAACACCAUCAUUCAUUUUUUAAUUUCGGCUCUGCUUAAAGUGUUGGAGGCUGUAAUCAAUUACAUUAACACAUGAUGCAAUUUGACUCAUUUGAGCAAUUUCAAUCAGGAUUUCAUCCUCAUCAUAGUGCUGAGACUGCUGUAUGGAAAGAAAAUAAUGACCUUUUGAUUGCAACAAGGGAUGUUGUCUUUCAUGAUUUUGUCGGAACUUUUGGCAGCCUUUGAUGGAGCUCAUCAUGACAUUUUAAUGGCUG